rnacentral:rRNA from 1 species
UACGGAGGUGGCAAGCGUUGCUCGGAAUCACUGGGCGUAAAGGGCGCGUAGGCGGCUUUGUAAGUCGGGGGUGAAAGCCUGUGGCUCAACCACAGAAUUGCCUUCGAUACUGCAUGGCUUGAGACCGGAAGAGGUAAGUGGAACUGCGAGUGUAGAGGUGAAAUUCGUAGAUAUUCGCAAGAACACCAGUGGCGAAGGCGGCUUACUGGUCCGGUUCUGACGCUGAGGCGGCGAAAGCGUGGGGAGCAAACAGG